UGUAAUAAAUGUUUUUGUGUAUAUUUCUAGUAUUAUUUAUUUCCUAUCAACAGUAUAGAGAAGAUUGUUUGAACCUACAAAAUUAGAACUUGAAAGAUUUUCUAUGUCAAAUUUAUCCUUACUAAUUCACAGCUGUUAUGUUCACUGUCAAUUUUUAAACUGUUAUAAAAUUGCUCCAAAUUAGAUCAUGAAAACUAUCCCUCCAUGUUCAUCUAUCAUGAAUGUUUAAAAUAUGUUUUAAAAAGAAUUAAUUAAGUUUCAAAAAUUGUACGGUCCACAGCCUUGCAUCUUCCACUGUGUAAUUAACCUUAUACGAUGGCCUUGUGUCGUAUUUCAAAGCUGAAUUUGUACAAUUUCACCUUCUGGCCACUAUUUUUACUUACACUUUUCCCUGUAAAGCAGUCAGUUUUUCUUCAUCACAUAAAAGUGCAUAGACACAGUGAUCAAGUGUCUCGACAACCUGCUUUCCAUUAAGGUAAAUAACUUGAUUUCCUUCGGCCUUAAACUGUGAGUUUUGUUUUUUAAUCUGUGAUAUUUUUGUGGUCCUCUUUCCAGUGUUUCUGAGCUGCUGUGAGAACGUGAAAUAUAGGCUCUGGUGGCAGUUCAAUCAGUGCCCUCCUCAGAGGCAAGAGGUCUUUCUUACAGCCACUUGAUAUUCCAGGGUUUUUUUAUAUAUCUUUCUUUCUUUUUUUUACAGCCUAGCACCGAACACACAUUGGAGCAGGAGUUUUCAGUGAUCUCUAGGCUUGUUUCUGAGUGGUUAUUCUCCAAGUUUGAUCCAGAAGAAUUUCAAUACCUUGCUGAACAUGUUCAUCAUUCCGUAAAACUGUAGCAGAAAUCACAAGGUCUACUGAGCCGAAUUCUGUAGCUGUAGGUUUGCGCAUGUGUUCCAGUUGGUAUUACGUUUCUGUAAGAAGACCAGAUGAGAUUGAACCCACUGGGUGGAGAAGGUUAUGGAGCCUGCACCUGCAGCAGGUGAGGGGCUCCAAGGGGGAGCAGCCAGCUUGGCCUUGCAGCGUUGGGAGGAACUCCUUAAGGACCAGAGGGGACUGGGUUGAUUUUGCUGCAACUCAGAAAAUCACUGAACUGGGUAAAAUCAAGUCUAAAAGCAAAGAUGUGCCUACAAGGACAGUAUGUAGGGAAGAAUUGUGUAUAUAUUAUUUUUAUUGUGCCCUGCCUUCCCUCUCCUGUUUUGUCUUCUCUGUUUAAAAGACAACUCAUUUAGUUUCAUGCCAAUGAAACUUGUAUCUUUGGAGUUUAAAAGCCUUUCAGUAUUCUUUGGGGAGCUUGCUACAGGAGAAGAUCUCAGCAGAUGCAUUGCAAAGCUCUGGCCACCUCAGGCUCACUGUUUCUGUUAACUUCUGAAUAAUUGUGCUUGACCUUGAACCCUGCAUAUUCUUUUCUUCAGUAUGACAUUUCCAGACUGAGUAAAUGGCAAUGGCAGUGUAGCUGACUCUACAGUGUUUUUAUGGCUCAUCUAGGGAAGCUUUAAACUCUAGUUCUUUUCCAAACAACUUUUGGUAUAUAUAUAUAUUUUAUUAUGUUGUAAAAUACCAGCUUAAUAAUCAGCAGUUGUCGACUGUUACUUUGAUGUAGUCCUAUGAAACUUCAAGAAGGAUUAUAUGGUUGUAGAUCACAGCAAUAUUUGAAUGUAAUUGUUUUGCUUACAGUUAAUGUUGUGAACAUUAAACGGUGCUAGAUUUUCCUGUGUCUCUGACAGUUUACUCCCAAAUAUAUAGGCCCAUGCUCAUUCUUUCUGUAGGGUGUUAAACAAAGCCAAAAGUUUUCUAAGAACUAAAUUCUUUGUAAAAGCACUGGCCUACUCAUUGUAAACAGGAUGGGCUAUGCAGAUGUUUAGUCAUGAGCACACUCUGGAAAACAUAGUCACUUUUGCUCUGAGGGCAUGAUUUCACUGCAGUGUGGUGAAACAUCCCAGGCUUAGUUCAGCCAAAGCUAUUUUGAAACUGCAGCUCUGCUAAGGGAGUUAAUUCAAGUAGCCAAGUUAACCCGGCUGUACUGCUUCUUGAACUUGCAUUUGUGCCUCUGUGUUUUCCAAAGCAGUCUUCUCCGUGGGUGCCUCCGAGUGUCCUUCAUCUCUGCUAGAACUAAUGAUACCUGGAGAGGAGGAGUUAAUUCCUUUCAGUGAAAGAGCCUUUCUGCAAGCUACGUCUAUAUCUUGGUUUUAGUAUUUACCACGCAUUACUGACUGAGAAUGGUUGUCAGGGUAUCGUACAGAAAAUGAGACCAGAGAUGGCAAAAACAAUAGCCAUGAACAAUGUGUGUGGCCUGCAUGUCUGCUAAAUGCUAUGGAAGGCCUGGGGCAAUAUUGCUAGAGCUGUUAAGGCUGGUCAGGGCUGUCCUACACAGACUUGUGUUUUUCUACAGCAUCCCACUCGUGCUACCUGUGUGUUAGCCAUAGCAUAUCCUGCCUUCUGUUUGGAUAAAGGCCUUGAUGAUCAUGUUCAACCAUCAGGUUGGUUUCUUUCUAUUUGACCCCGGAGUUUGUUUUUGUUCCUCCGGGAGGAGGAAGUUUCAUGGUGCUUCCAAAUGUACAAGCGAAAUACGUGGCCAUAAUGAUACUCACCAAAGCAUGAAGGGUUUUGUUUUCCCCAAUGAUAACGUCAUUGUUGUUGAUUCCUUUGUUGUUUAACUGACUUAUUUCACUGAGUUUUGUAUGUUCCUGUAAGAAGGUCCAUGGCAUGUUAUCACAGGUGCUAAUAAUUCCCACAGAAAAAGCUUUACAGCUCUCCUGAGCGACUUGCAGGGUAAAGGUUUGAAUCUGAAUGAAGCCGUGUUGUUUGGAAGUUCAGAAGAGGAAUGUCCAGAGGACUCUGCUCAGCGUGUGGCACGCAGCUUCUACUGUGUCAGCAUCCACUUUCCUCAUUGACAGCAGAGACAAGUUUUCCAUGUUCAGUAAGAAAGACAUAGCAAAUUUAACAUCUGAAAAGUCCACCUACUUGAAAACUUUCAAGGAAAACCUGAAAAAGGUUAGAGUUUUAUAGUGCUGAUAGCACACUCUUCUGCAUUGAUGAAAAAACUCUUUGCUUCAACAUAGUACUGUAUGUGUGUUUAUCUGAUCUAUUUUGCUGUAUGCUUGCACUGUAAUUUUUGAUAGAAGGAAUGUCUUUUUAUUAGUAUUAUAAAUACUAGCAUUUAUUUCUUAGAUCCACAUACACAGUUAGGUAUAUGAGGAGAGAGAAAAUAAUUUUGAAAUAUUCCCAAGGCAACUCCUACAAAUUUUAGUUAUAAGGAAUUCUUUUCUUGACUUUAAGUUGACAUUACCCAGUUGGAGAAUAAAAAUCGUCAUUUAUAUGACUGUGAGUAGCAAAUCGUCUACACAAAUGAUGAUCAAUUCUCCUCCAUUAUUUGUAAUUAGUUACCAGGAAAUAAUUAGAAAUAAUUACCAGGAAAUAAUUAGAGCAGAACCAUUGAAUAGUGAAUUUUUUUUUUAAAUUUACCACUUGUUUACAGAAAUGGAAGUGGAAAAAGAGGUGAAGUUUGUCUAAUAAGAUAUUCAUUGUACAUUGCCAGGCUAGUUCUCUUUAUUAACAAUGGUUUGAGGGCAGAUGAACUUCUGGGUAACUGUGUUUGAGAGAGAAAUUUUAAUAGAAUGAAUGCACUAGAUGCAAGGUUGAAACGUAAUGCCAAUUUUUGCUAUGUUUGGAAAAACUCCAGAUUUUUGAAUUUUGUUAGCUUACAAUAUUUUAAGUAGAGGAAUCGUUUUCUUAAGAAAACUAAUCUUCUCCCGCCUGCAGAUCAGGACAGAUGUUGAAUAAUGGAUAAAUAGUCGUAAGCUGCAAAUCAGCAUUAACGUUGAACAGUAUUGCUGAUGCUGACAUUGGCAAAGACUGUAUUUCUUUGUUAACUUGCAUGUUACCCAUACUAAACAGAAAGGUUUUUUUCCUCUAUGAAAACUGUGAUUACUGGCAGAAGUAGCUGACUUAUUUGGAAUGCUAUUUUCACUAUUUCUAGGAGUGAUAAGAGCGAUACACACAUAUUUGCACAAAAUCAGCAAACUUACAAAUGGUUCCCUGACCACGAGAACCGAUGCAGUCUGUUUCUUUUGAACUUAUGUUGAUUUGUUUCCCACAAAUAUAACACAAAGCUUGUAGUACAUCAUCAGUACUUGAUAUGACUCCCCACUACAAUAACUGGAGGACCUUCUCAUUACCCUAAAGCUUUACACAUCUUCCUAAGAUGUUCCUGGUAUCCUUCUCUUUACAUUUAGCUCCCUCCCAAGGCCCUUGCACAUCUGACUGGGCAAGGGGCACAGUACUUGCUGUGGUGGAUUCAGAGCUAUGCCCGUGCUGUUUGGCCAGCUGGCUGCCCUUGCCUCACGCAUUACUGACCUGUCCUCUACUUGCCGUUCCCACAGGGACAACUGGUCUAGGUCUCUCCUCUCUACCAGCUACUGCCUUCGAAAUAGCCAGUCCUUUGUCAGAUUUAUUUGGAAUUGGCCAAAAGGUUAAAAAAAGGAGGGAAACUUACAGGUUAAUAGAGUUAAUAGCAUAAGCCUCAUUUUCUUGCAACUGUUUGCAGAACCAUGCCUUAGUUAUUUAGGCACUUGUUUUUAGGUUAACUGAUAAUUGCUGUCUCUAGCAAGUAAAGAGCACACCCCAUUUUCCACAUAAUGAUUAGUGGAAUUAGAGCUUUUACUGAAUAGAUUAGAUCUUUCUGGUUUCUGUUAAUCUCUAACUGGCAUAUUUAAAACUAUGUAUAGAGAAACUGUAGGAUCAUUAUGAAUCUAAAGUAAUGUAUUUAUAACUUCCUAGAAUUCCUUGGCUGGAAGGAAGUAAAAUAUGAAGUUUAUUAUUUAUUUCAGCAUGUGUUGGUUAAAGCAUUCAAGUGAGAACUAUAGAAAAAGAAUACAAGGGAAGGGAAACACAGAAGUUUUACAAAAAAAUAAACAGUAAAGUGAUUAUAUGGAACCAUACUUGAAACCUUUCCAAAACUGCAAAGCUUACUUUGUCCUGAAGCAUGAAUUCUUACUUUAUGUUAACUAUUUACUUAUUUUUAGUGAAGAAUGAUUUUAUGCUAGAGUCUAGAAACAAUAGUCUAAUGAAAAUAUAUAUGCACUUGUUUUUUCUCUGAGAAAUUAUUUAGUUCAUGGGGAUUUGGGUGUGUGUAUUAUAUUCUUAUAUUCUGAAUAUACCUCCUCUGAAUUCUGUGAUGAGCAACAGCAGAGGUAUCACACUAGCAGAAAAAAUGUAAACACUGAAAAUGGUGUCUCUGCACAAGGGCUAACUGAGCAGGAUAUUGUAAAUACUGUUUCCUAAGUGAUUUUAUGAAUUUUUAUUGCUUGUAUGAAUUCACUCUACCAUAUAAAAAUAUGGUAAUAGUAAAAUAAAAUAUUAUUAUAUUACUGAU